rnacentral:rRNA from 1 species
AUACGUAGGGGGCGAGCGUUGUCCGGAAUGAUUGGGCGUAAAGGGCGCGUAGGCGGCCUGUUAAGUCUGGAGUGAAAGUCCUGUUUUCAAGAUGGGAAUUGCUUUGGAUACUGAUGGGCUUGAGUGCAGGAGAGGUUAUCGGAAUUCCCGGUGUAGCGGUGAAAUGCGUAGAGAUCGGGAGGAACACCAGUGGCGAAGGCGGGUAACUGGACUGCAACUGACGCUGAGGCGCGAAAGUGUGGGGAGCAAACAGGAUUAGAUACCCUGGUAGUCCACACUGUAAACGAUGAAUGCUAGGUGUAAGAGGUAUCGACCCCUUUUGUGCCGGAGUCAACACAAUAAGCAUUCCGCCUGGGGAGUACGGCCGCAAGGUUGAAACUCAAAGGAAUUGACGGGG